rnacentral:lncRNA from 1 species
UAAUAAAAAACUCUAAAUCUUUAUAUAUUCUUAUGGAGUAUUAUUCCUAAACUUCAAAAACUCAUAUCUUUCAAUUAGACCAUUCAAACAUACUUAAAUUUUACAUGAAAUAUUGAUAUACUUUUAAAGACUACCACAAAAAAUUUUAAUUGCAAAUUCAUUUGUAGUUCUUAGGUUAUUGUCAAAAUCCUAACAAUAGCUUCA